rnacentral:rRNA from 1 species
GAUGAACGCUGGCGGCGUGCCUAAUACAUGCAAGUCGAGCGAAGCGGGGAAGGGUGAGGAACAGGUGGAUAACCUCCUAUAAGACUGGGAUAACUUGGGGAAACCGGAGCUAAAACGGCUACUAAUAGAUGGAUCCUCGUGGCAUUAGCUAGUUGGUAAGGUAACGGCUAACCAAGGCAACGAUGCAUAGCCGACCUGUGAGGGUGAUCGGCCACACUGGAACUGAGACACGGUCCAGACUCCUACGGGAGGCAGCAGUAGGGAAUCUUCCGCAAUGGGCGAAAGCCUGACGGAGCAACGCCGCGUGAGUGAAGAAGGUCUUCGGAUCGUAAAACUCUGUUAUUAGGGAAGCGGUACCUAAUCAGAAAGCCACGGCUAACUACGUGCCAGCAGCCGCGGUAAUUC